rnacentral:rRNA from 1 species
UUGGGCGUAAGAGUUCUGUAGGUGGUGUGGUAAGUUACAGGUUAAAACCUCCGGCUCAACUGGAGAUGUGCUUGUAAUACUGUCGCACUAGAGGCAAACAGGGGAAAGUAGAACGCAUGGUGUAGUGGUGGAAUACGUUGAUAUCAUGCGGAAUACCGAAGGCGUAGGCAGCUUUCUGGGUUUGUCCUGACACUGAGAGACGAAAGCGUGGGGAGCAAAACGGAUUAGAUACCCGUGUAGUCCACGCCGUAAACUAUGUCCACUAGAUUCGUGUGUAAGAUUUAUCUUAUGUGCGUGUCGCAGUUAACACAUUAAGUGGACCGCCUGAGGAGUACGGUCGCAAGGCUAAAACUCAAAGGAAUUGACGGGGAUCCGCACAAGCGGUGGAGCGCCUGCUUUAAUUCGAUGAUAACCGAAGAACCUUACCGAGGUUUGACAUGCAACUGCAAAUCUGAUGAAAGUCAGAUGCCUUCGAGGGUGUUGCACAGGUAUUGCAUGGCUGUUGUCAGCUCGUGUCGUGAGAUGUACCGUUAAGUCGGGUAACGAGCGCAACCCUUACUGCUAGUUGUAUCACUCUAGCGGAACUGCCCUGGCAACAGGGAGGAAGGAGAGGAAGACAACAAGUCA